AGGGAAGUCCAGAGGCCCCAGAGAAUUGAGAGCCGCUCCACCUCCUAACGACGGUGGCAGUGACGACAUCGUAUACACUGAGCUUACGUUAAUACCACAAAGGACAAAUCAAAAAGGCAAGAAGAAACGCUUUGAAACCAACGGCGAUGAUAGCACGGUCUAUGCAGACGUCAAGCUGUAAAAGGGACAGCAAGCUUCUCGAUAUUCGAUGUGUCCACAGGAGGUGACUUGGGUCCGUGAUCUACAGCUGCAGCUCAAGCUACGCUUCUUCAUAGGUGGUGGGUUCUCGCUGACGGAACUCACCGAGCGACCUGGGGUUUCGAUGUCUCUAUGUUUCAAUGUUUCGACGUGCGCCGUCGGGGUGCGGUCCGGUAGACGACUCGAUUCCUCACCGAGGUCACAGACUGAAAUGUCGCGCGAUAUUGAAACACCGAGACAGCGGGCGGUGUGGGCAGCCGUCUGAGGCCCCUCGAGGGAGGGAGGGGGGAAUCUCUCACUCUCUCUUGCUGUCUCUUUCAAUGUAUAAAACAGGAAGGACCUAUACACCGAUGUAUCUCAACAAUCAAUCAAUAAUCGGAUUGAUAGAUAGCUAGCUAUCUAUAAAUAAAUAGAGAGAGAGAGA